rnacentral:rRNA from 1 species
AUACGGUGAAUACGUUCCCGGACCUUGUACACACCGCCCGUCAAGCCAUGGAAGCUGGGUGUACCUAAAGUCGGUAACCGUAAGGAGCCGCCUAGGGUAAACUAGUAACUGGGGCU